rnacentral:rRNA from 1 species
GGGAAUUUUUGUCAAUGGGGGCAACCCUGAACAAGCAACGCCGCGUGAAGGACGAAGACCUUCGGGUUGUAAACUUCUGUCGGAGGGGACGAAAGCAGUGGUGGUUAAUACCCACUAUUGUUGACGGUACCCUACGAGGAAGCCCCGGCUAACUACGUGCCAGCAGCCGCGGUAAUACGUAGGGUGCGAGCGUUAAUCGGAAUUACUGGGCGUAAAGCGUGCGCAGGCGGUUGUGUAAGACAGGUGUGAAAUCCCCGGGCUUAACCUGGGAACUGCGCUUGUGACUGCACGGCUAGAGUACGGCAGAGGGGGGUGGAAUUCCACGUGUAGCAGUGAAAUGCGUAGAUAUGUGGAGGAACACCGAUGGCGAAGGCAGCCCCCUGGGCCGAUACUGACGCUCAUGCACGAAAGCGUGGGGAGCAAA